rnacentral:ncRNA from 1 species
CAGAACCAGGGUGAUGGCGUUCCACCUUUCCCAACCGCUCCAUUCCGGAGCUGAUGACGCCUGAUGUAAC